AAAAACUGUUUUAAGUUGUAUAAAUUGUGUUUAUUAAUCUCUAGAUGCCAAUUUAGGUUGGUCAGUAAUAGUAGUUCAAUUAACGUGUAUCCUGGUGAUUUACUCAAACUCUGUUUGGAGGUGUGAAGUGAAAUGUUUUUGUCCUAUUUGUUUCAGAUUGAACAGGAUUUUAUGUUGCUAUUUGGAGAGGGAACAUCAGACAAGUUUUUGGAGAGGUGGCCAACUACAUUCAAGCAAAAGAUCGUCAUGCUAAGCAAGACCCUAAGCAAGACCACUCAGAGAGCUGAACUUCAGGAGCUGAUCCAGAUGGCAGAAUCUGCAGUUGAUGAGGGAGCUGACACGAAUACCGACAGAUGGGACGGUGGCCUUUCCUUCAUCCUUCUCCUGCUCCAUUUCAUUCCUCCUUCAUCACAAGGCCACAAAAGACCAGGCCAGAUGUCUGCAUGCCAAGCUGAACAGCAUCUUGUGAUAUUCCAAAAGGCAGGAACCAGUAUUCAGGAGCACCUUGAUGCGAUUGACCGGAGCCGCCAACCAUAUGUUCUUGCAGUCGGGACCAGGAAGAGCAGCAUCCAUGUUUACGUCAUCAUCCUGGACAAGCGAGCCUUACUUCAUCAUCCUGGACAAGCGAGCCUUACUUCAUCAUCCUGGACAAGCGAGCCUUACUUCAUCAUCCUGGACAAGCGAGCCUUACUUCAUCAUCCUGGACAAGCGAGCCUUACUUCAUCAUCCUGGACAAGCGAGCCUUACUUCAUCAUCCUGGACAAGCGAGCCUUACUUCAUCAUCCUGGACAAGCGAGCCUUACUUCAUCAUCCUGAACAAGCGAGCCUUACUUCAUCAUCCUGGACAAGCGAGCCUUACUUCAUCAUCCUGAACAAGCGAGCCUUACUUCAUCAUCCUGGACACGCGAGCCUUGCUUCAUCAUCCUGGACAAGCGAGCCUUACUUCAUCAUCCUGGACCAAGCGAGCCUUACUUCAUCAUCCUGGACCAAGCGAGCCUUACUUCAUCAUCCUGGACAAGCGAGCCUUACUUCAUCAUCCUGGACCAAGCGAGCCUUACUUCAUCAUCCUGGACCAAGCGAGCCUUAGCGUGCAAGUCAACGAGCGCUCGUGGUGCCUUCGAUGAGCUUUUCAAGACUCACUUUGUUUUUGGUAUUGCUUACAAUACAAUGCUGUGCAACAUGUACACCUUCAUACAGACAACUGUGUACAACAUAGACAUUGGGAAGGUUAAGGAGACUCCAAGGGUUGUUGAGCUCAGAGCUAGACUCCUGCACUGAUGCUGAUAUAAGUUAUGAUGAUAUGUUUUGUUUGCCAUGCUAGUCAUGGAAGUACCAACUUGCUCGUAAGGCAUCUCAAGUUGAUGCAUGGAAUGUACCCUGGUAGAACUCCUGGAAUGUGGUCAAGCAGAUUGUUGUUGUGUAUUUAGUACAUUUUCAGGCAGCAUUUGAACAGGGCACAUUCCGGAGACUGUCCAAAUUCUGUUAAAUGCUAACUUGAAUGCUAACACAGCCGUUGAUAAUCAGCCAAAUAAUGCUGAUUUUCCUUCUAGUUCUAGUUGUAACCAUGUUGUACCAGUGUCUAACAAGAACACACUUGAUAUGUGUGCGUCUGCUAUUGCACAUGUAACAGUAUAGCUUUAUGGCGUCCCCUCACCCCGACUCGGGCGCGAACCAGGGACCCUCUGCACACAUCAACAACGGUCGCCCACGAAGCAUCGUUACCCAUCGCUCCACAAAGGCCGCGGCCCUUGCAGAGCAAGGGGAACCACCACUUCUAGGUUUCAGAGCAAGUGACGUAACCAACUGAAAGGCUGCUAGCGCGCACCACCGCUAACUAGCUAGCCAUUUCACAUCCGUUACACACAACUGCAGGCUGCAAGUGUAUGUCAGACGACUGUAAAUAGUUUUGUAUCUUCCAUGGAAGAAGCAGUUCAAGAGAUACAGGGUCAAGCUGAAGCGACCGCUCUUACAUGUAUAUCUUCAAAAUACACAGAAACGGUCAGAAAAAUCCAACAUUCUUUUCAGGAUAUCGAAAAUCCUUUCACAUCGUUCAAAUCCUUUUCACAUCAAAACGAAGUGCUUAUUUCAUAAAAAAAUGGGGAACCGUUCAACCAGUUGAGAAAAUCCUUGGUGUUAGAUUUGACAAUAGAAGACUACUGGAACCUAUGAUCAAAUAGUCAUAGCUGAUCCAUUUUCAUACGUUCCAAUUCUCCAGACAUUUUGAAGAACCCAAACACAAGUCACAUGUUUAACUCGGGGCAUCGUUUUAAAGAUGGAGUUUACUUUGAUUUGGAAGAUGGACUAUACAUGAAGAGACAUCCUUUUGCAUUGCAAAUUCAACUCUUUUAUGAUGACUUUGAGACUGUUAAUUCAUUGGGAUCAAAAAAGGCUAUUCACAAGUUGGGAGGUGUAUACUUCACUUUGAGAUUUUACCCCAACGUUUAAUUCAAUUUUGGUAAAUAAUAACUUAUGUGCACUUUUCCAUACCCAGGACCUUAACUUAUGGAUUUGAUUCCAUUCUUGAGCCAAUAGUAAGUGAUUUGAAAGUGCUUGAGACUGAGGGUAGUGAAGUUCCCUUCUUCAGUGGUCGUAUACAUGGCAGCAUUGUCCAAGUCACUGGAGAUAAUCUUGCUAUACAUUGCCUGUUUGGUUUUGUGGAAUCAUUUAGUGGUUUUUAUUGUUGCCAUUUUUGCCUCACUGAGAAAGUGGAUUUUCAAACUGUGUUCUCUGAGGAUGACCCAAGAGCGACUUUACGAACAAACACAUGCAAUCAGACCAUUGUUAAACUAUUUAGUCAAACCCAACACCACCUCAUGUGUACGGUGUGAAGCAUGCUUGCUUAUUGAACUCUCUGCAGUACUUCAAUAGUACAGACCAUUUGUCUGUUGAUAUAAUGCAUGACGUUUUAGAAGGAGUUGCACAAUUUCAGGUAACUUGUGUUACAGUAUAUAGAAGGGAACUUUGUGACUCCUAAAGAUGUGUAGAGUUCAUGUCACUAUAGCUACACAGAGAGGAGGAAUCGUCCAGCUGUACUCAAAAUGGAUGAUGGGACCAAUGAUUUGGGACUAAAUGUUACUCAGCCUUGGUGUCUUCGUAAUUUGCCAUUGAUAUUUGGUGAUCUGUAACAGAAAGAUGAUAAAUACUGGCAGCUUCUUCUGUUACCACUAUAAAUUGUAAAUAUUGUGUUUUCUCCUAUACUGAAACACUUAAUUGCUGAACAUCCUAGGCUUUUCAAGUAUUUGUCUCCUGAUAGAAAUCUGUUACCGAAACCCCACUUCAUGAUACAGUAUCCUCGUUGUAUAAGGAAUAUUGGGCCCAUUCUUCACUCGUGGUGUAUGCGCUACGAGGCAAAACAUCAUUUAUUCAAAAAAGCAACCGAAGAGUUUUUAGAAUGUCACUAUGACCUUAGUCAAGAAACACAAAAAAAAUGACAUGGCAUAUAAUUGGGAAACGUUCAGCCAGGAUAGACUAGCUAUAGGUCCAGGAAAGAUGUCAAGGCUCAAUGAGCUGACAGAAAGCCAUGAGAUUGCUGCCAAGUUGAAUGUCUCCGUGCACACAAACAUUUUGUCAGUUAAAUGGCUAAAGCACCACGGUAUAGAAAUAUCGUCUUGAUUUGGUCAUAUAUGGUGAAGUAGUCAUUAAAAUGGCAGUAUUUUACAAAAUGAAGGCUUAUUGUUCUGAAAGAGGAAAAUGUUUUUUGGGGGUCGGGUCAGCUCUUGAAACCUUAUGUUUUGAUGAUCAUUUGCAUGCAUUUAAAGUUGUUUUGAAGAAAAGUCCCCCAUACAAAGUAUUUCAUGUAAAUGACAUCAUGUACCACAAACGUUUUGAUUUGCUCAUGUCAUCUGGAGCAAGGGAUUUUUUGGACUACAUUGUCCCCUACUCUUACUUGAUAACAGUUUAAGCCAGGGCUGAGACUUAUGGUUAGGUUGUGAGAAACACAUUUGAAUGCUGAAACAGCUUUGCUUGAGUUUAUUGUGAAAUUCCAAGUGCUUUUACAAAAUAUAAUUCCUAUUUACAUGGGGGAAGAGUAAAUAAAUGAACACUGAAUAGAGUAAACACAUUUUACUCUAAUAGCAGUCACCCUAGAUCAACACUAGUGAGUGUCACUAUAACACUCAACGUGUUGAUUACCUCUUAGUGUUACAUUUUAUCAACACCGGCCAGUGUGGUGCAGUGUUAACUUUUUGCACUCCUCAGUGUUAAAUCAACACUAGAAAUGUAACACUUGGAUCAGUGUACUUUUUACUCUGUAUAGAGUGGGACCAUAUGUACUCGCUGACAGUGAUAAAUGUAACACUUAAAAGUGUUGAUUUAACACUUUAAAAUUUACUGUGUAUGAAUACUGAUGACACCUAGCGCAUUACUUUUAAUCAUUUUGUUUUAAACCUUCCCCAAACCAUAACCUUUCAGUCCGUAACCACGCAGAAUAAAUGCGUAAAAAAUAGACGUUCAUCCAUAAUACAUCGAAUUUCGAAGGAAAACUAUGAGAUCUUGUUGGUGUGGGAGUGACUGUUUGUCUGCUGCUGUGUGCUCAGACAUUGCAUGCCGUGUGUGUGUGUGUGUGUG